rnacentral:tRNA from 1 species
UCCCUCAUUGCUUAGUUGGUAAAGAAUCUGCUUGCAAUGCAGGAGACCUGGGUUCAAUUUCUAGGUCAGGAAG